ensembl:lncRNA
UGAGCACCUCCCCACGUUAACACAUGAAUCAUGCUGACAGUACAGAAUAGCCUUACCCCUCCCAGUCUGAGGAAAAGAGAAGGCCUGGAAGGCUCAUGUAGCUGUAUGAUGACAGUCUACAGAGAGAGAAAUAAGACUGCUGAGCCCACACAUGCAAAAGCAGGUUGGCUUUAGCUCUAUGUUAAAGGAAUACUUUUCCCCAGAGAGCAGAGUUAGUGCCGUGCAUCUGUUGCCAGGAGCCAUCUCCAAGACUCUUGAUGUGGGAUUGUAAAACAGAGUUGGCCUAAUGACAAAGGGGCACAGAAAUUGGAACUUCCUCACUCCAUGUCUGCUUUAUAUAGGAGGAAACUAUGCUCAAUUGAGUGAUUCUCCUAGUCACCCUUGGCCUUCCAUCCACCCAGCAAAACGGAAGCCAUCAUCAUGGAGAGGCUGAGGAAGCCAAUGACACCUACUGACUCAGCCUCAUCCCCUGAAGGAGACCAGUCCUUCAAGAAACUAGAGAUGAAACGACUUCUCUUCUGUUUUGGAAGACUUUGAGGAAGGCAAAGGAACAUUUAUUUAAGGAUGGUGAUUUCUUGUGACUCUUCUUCAUUGAGAAUUGCUAACAGUGCCCGCUGCCUUCCUGGGAUGUUGCAGCAAUGAAGUGAGAGAUGCAGUGAAGCAUUCACAACAGUGCCUGCUCACAGAGUGUACUCAGUGAAUGUUGGCUGUUAUUAUUAUUUUCUAACAUCCUUCUCUG